UUUCCGUAGGUGAACCUGCGGAAGGAUCAUUAUUGUAUAGCCGAGGUGCGAGGGCUGUCGCUGACCCGAAAGGUCGUGCACGCCCGAGUGCCCUCACACACAUCCAUCUCACCCCUAUGUGCACCACCGCGUGGGUCCCCCUUUGGCUUGUUCGGAGGGGGGCUUACGUUUUCACACAAACUUUGUAUGCAGUGUAGAAUGUAUUUUUUGUUUUUGCGAUCACGCAAUCAAUACAACUUUCAACAACGGAUCUCUUGGUUCUC
rnacentral:misc_RNA from 1 species